ensembl:piRNA 21ur-4 ncRNA
UAGAAGCUUUUUUUGGGUUUA